UGGUGAUACUUUACGGUAUUUUAUCAGAGCUUACGAUAUUAUGUCACAAUACAAGGAAGAAUGGACCACCGUCGAUUUUGAUAGUUCUCCGCCGGUUUUUGAAGAUCUGUGGUUAAGCAAAAAUGGUGGUAUAUAUGACUCAUUAAAUGGAUUUGAACAGUUUUAUGACAUGACUAUGGAGUGGGUAGUCACUGAUUAUCAUAGUGGUUUAGAAUCGGUGAAAUGGAUAAUAUUUGAUAACCAAACCAACACAGAGUUAGGAUCUGACCAAAUUCCAGUUCAAGGUGCCACUACGUCUGUAGACGAAUGUGAUAUAAAAUAUUCUAAUUCGAUUAGAGGACCCGACUGUUAUUGUACUCCGAACAGCAGUUGUUUUCAUCCCCAUUUUCAAAUCAAACCAACGACAGCCACACUCCCAGUCAUCAAUGAUAAUGCAACCAGUACUGAUGGUCACGUGUAUCGCCUAGUGGUUGCCGUGGUUAACAGUGCUAAAUUAUCAACCACCCUAACAAAACAGAUUACUGUUUAUUAAAAUAUUGGUAAACCAGUGACAUAUGGAGAG